rnacentral:rRNA from 1 species
UACGUAGGGGGCAAGCGUUGUCCGGAUUUAUUGGGCGUAAAGAGCGUGUAGGCGGCCAUACAGGUCCGUUGUGAAAACUGGAGGCUUAACCUCCAGACGUCGAUGGAAACCGUAUGGCUAGAGUCCGGAAGAGGAGAGUGGAAUUCCUGGUGUAGCGGUGAAAUGCGCAGAUAUCAGGAAGAACACCCGUGGCGAAGGCGGCUCUCUGGGACGGUACUGACGCUGAUGAGCGAAAGCUAGGGGAGCAAACGGG